GCUGGGGCGAGUCCGCCGAAGCAACGAUAGGUAGGUUCACAGAAGGGUUCGGGAGUUAAAACUCGUAAUUUCCGUAGGGGUAACCUGCGGAGGGAUCAUUACCGAGUUUUCUACUCCCUAACCCUUCUGUGAACCUACCUAUCGUUGCUUCGGCGGACUCGCCCCAGCCCGGACGCGGACUAGACCAGCGGCCCGCCGGGGACCUCAAACUCUUGUAUUCCAGCAUCUUCUGAAUACGCCGCAAGGCAAAACAAAUGAAUCAAAACUUUCAACAACGGAUCUCUUGGCUCUGGCAUCGAUGAAGAACGCAGCGAAAUGCGAUAAGUAAUGUGAAUUGCAGAAUCCAGUGAAUCAUCGAAUCUUUGAACGCACAUUGCGCCCGCCAGCAUUCUGGCGGGCAUGCCUGUUCGAGCGUCAUUUCAACCCUCGACCUCCCCUUGGGGAGGUCGGCGUUGGGGACCGGCAGCACACCGCCGGCCCUGAAAUGGAGUGGCGGCCCGUCCGCGGCGACCUCUGCGUAGUAAUACAGCUCGCACCGGAACCCCGACGCGGCCACGCCGUAAAACACCCAACUUCUGAACGUUGACCUCGAAUCAGGUAGGACUACCCGCUGAACUUAAGCAUAUCAAAAGCCGGGAGGAA
rnacentral:rRNA from 1 species